rnacentral:rRNA from 1 species
ACGGAAGGCAGCAGUGGGGAAUAUUGGACAAUGGGGGAAACCCUGAUCCAGCGACGCCGCGUGAGCGAAGAAGUAUUUCGGUAUGUAAAGCUCUAUCAGCAGGGAAGAAAAUGACGGUACCUGACUAAGAAGCCCCGGCUAACUACGUGCCAGCAGCCGCGGUAAUACGUAGGGGGCAAGCGUUAUCCGGAUUUACUGGGUGUAAAGGGAGCGCAGGCGGUAUGCUAAGUCUGAUGUGAAAACCCGGGGCUCAACCCCGGGAUUGCAUUGGAAACUGGUAAACUUGAGUGUCGGAGAGGUAAGCGGAAUUCCUAGUGUAGCGGUGAAAUGCGUAGAUAUUAGGAGGAACACCAGUGGCGAAGGCGGCUUACUGGACGAUAACUGACGCUGAGGCUCGAAAGCGUGGGGAGCAAACAGGAUUAGAUACCCUGGUA